rnacentral:tRNA from 1 species
CGGGGCCGUAGCGCAGAGGCAGGCGCGAUUGGUCUCCCAAACCAGAGCACGCUGGUUCGAAUCCAGCCGCCUCGC